rnacentral:rRNA from 1 species
CACGUAGGGCGCAAGCGUUGUCCGGAAUUAUUGGGCGUAAAGAGCUCGUAGGCGGUCCGUCACGUCCGCUGUGAAAACCCAGGGCUCAACCCUGGGCUUGCAGUGGAUACGGGCAGACUAGAGGUAGGUAGGGGAGAAUGGAAUUCCCGGUGUAGGCGGUGAAAUGCGCAGAUAUCAGGAAGAACACCCGUGGCGAAGGCGGCUCUCUGGGACGGUACUGACGCUGAGACGCGAAAGCGUGGGGAGCGAACAGG